AACUAUUUACUUGAACAAAGCAUGAUUAAGUUUUUAACUUAUAAAGCGAUAAAAAAAAUUAUUUAUUACAUGUAAAUGAGAGAAAAAUAUGGCUCAAAUUCUCAUGUUUAUUUAUGAUUUGAUCAUCUUUCUUUCCAUAUUUAUUAUUGUAACCAAUGGUGGUCUCAUUCCCUGCGUUUCUGAUGCUGAUUGUCCAGAAGAGUUAGCCUUGGUUAUGAAGUGCAUUAAUAAAUUAUGCGAGCUCGUGAUGGAGAUUGAAGAUUAACUUUAAGCAAGUGCAGAUCCGAUCAAUGACUUUGGAGUCGCCAACGUUACAGAUCAGAAGACAUGAGUAUUCCAGAUAAUUGAAUAUAGUUGUAUUUGUAGGCAUAAAUACUUUUCUGUUUUAUGUUAUUAACAUGGAUGUUGUGAGUUUGUUGUGUUUG